rnacentral:rRNA from 1 species
CCUACGGGAGGCUGCAGUAGGGAAUCUUUCACAAUGGGCGAAAGCCUGAUGGAGCAACGCCGCGUGCAGGAUGAAGGCCUUCGGGUUGUAAACUGCUUUUAUAAGCGAGAAAUAUGAUUGUAACUUAUGAAUAAGGAUCGGCUAACUACGUGCCAGCAGCCGCGGUCAUACGUAGGAUCCGCGCAGUAUCCGGAGUGACUGGGUGUAAAGAGUUGCGUAGGUGGUAUGGCAAGUCAAGGGGGAAAUCCCCGCGCUCAACGUGGGAACUGCCUUUGAAACUGGCGAACUGGCGUGUGUGAGAGGAUAGUGGAAUUCCAGGUGUAGGAGUGAAAUCCGUAGAUAUCUGGAGGAACAUCAGUGGCGAAGGCGACUAUCUGGCACAUAACUGACGCUGAGGAGCGAAAGCGUGGGUAGCAAACAGGAGUAGAUACCCUGGUAGUC